rnacentral:lncRNA from 1 species
GCUGAUGGUUCGGGGGGGUCGCUCGCGAGCGCAGAGCGCGCAGUGACAUACCGCAACCUCUCCCGCCCGGCAGCUCCACCACGUUCGCCGCGGGCUGGCCCCGGAGACGCUCUACGGGCAGCUCGGUCGCUCCACGGAGGCAGGCGCGGAGGGAGAGACCGCGGCGGCCGGCGGCCGUUACUGGGACGAGCGCUCCAAGAAGAUGGCUCAGCAAAACCUGAGGGAGCUCCUCAGCUUCCCGCGGCUCCUGGUCGACGCGCUCACUGUCCUCCUCGUUGAGCUGGUCCGCUUCCUCGGCGAGUCCGUGGUCCAGGUGCUGCUGGUCGGUCUGCUGACGGCGAUAGGAGAGCACAUGUUGAAGCCUCUCUUGGUGGCCUUGUCUAACAGCAUCCUGCAGCCUCUGCUGCUGUUCCUGCUGAACCUCCUGCACGGCAUCCGGGACCUGACCUACCCGCUCAUCGACAUCCUGGAGGGCAUCUGCUUGCAGGUCGCCGUGGUGCUUCAAGCUUUCAGAUUAGUCGAGGUCAACGUGCAGUCGGACGGAGGAGCAGCUCGGAGGGUUUAG